rnacentral:tRNA from 16 species
GGAGGGGUGGCCGAGAGGCUGAAGGCGGCGGUUUGCUAAACCGUUAUACGGGUAACUCCCGUAUCGUGGGUUCGAAUCCCAUCCCCUCCGCCA